AACACGUGAGUGACCUGCCUUUUAGACUGGAACAACUUACCGAAAGGUGAGCUAAUGCCGGAUGAGUUAUAUAAGUGCAUGUUUAUAUAGGAAAAGUUGGGGAGACCUGACGCUGAAAGAUGGACUCGCGUCCCAUUAGCUAGUUGGUAGGGUAAUGGCCUACCAAGGCGACGAUGGGUAGCCGGCCUGAGAGGGUGGCCGGCCACACUGGGACUGAGACACGGCCCAGACUCCUACGGAAGGCAGCAG
rnacentral:rRNA from 1 species